CACUUCCUUACGACGUCUUUUCUCCUCUUUUCAAUAUCUCUUUCCCACUUUUUUUCCUCGCGAAGAUUAAAUCUCGCAUCUUUUUCACUCUGUUUCCGACGAUCUCUAAAUUCUUUCGCUGCAGAUUUAAUCUCCUUUCCGAUAAUCUUCCGUUUUCCUUUUCGUGCAAGUUCGUCAAAAUGAUCGUUAAUCUCUUUUUCUGUUCUUAACGUCUUUC
rnacentral:lncRNA from 1 species